rnacentral:sRNA from 2 species
GGACAGACAUCGCCGAGUCCCCGUCAGGCGCGAGCCUGGGGAGCCGGGGACCCACACGUAGUCCCUGGGGUGAAUCGGGCGCCUUCGUUUCGACGGAGGGGUCCGUAGGAGACCUUCCUGCUCCGAACCCGUCAGCUAACCCGGUAGGCGAGAGGGAAGGAAAGG